rnacentral:snRNA from 1 species
AUAUAUACAUCACCAGUGUCUUACCUGUUCUUAGCAGUUUAAGAUCUGAUACGACCUCUAGCCGAGGACUAUGUAUUAGAUGGAUUUUUGGAACUGGGAGACGGAACAGGAGUUUGCUCUGUCCAACCCACCCAUCGACCUGAUGCUGCAGAACUUCCAGGAAUGGUGCACCAAAA